rnacentral:rRNA from 1 species
AUUGAACGCUGGCGGCAGGCCUAACACAUGCAAGUCGAGCGGAUGAAGGGAGCUUGCUCCUGGAUUCAGCGGCGGACGGGUGAGUAAUGCCUAGGAAUCUGCCUGGUAGUGGGGGAUAACGUCCGGAAACGGGCGCUAAUACCGCAUACGCCCUGAGGGAGAAAGUGGGGGAUCUUCGGACCUCACGCUAUCAGAUGAGCCUAGGUCGGAUUAGCUAGUUGGUGGGGUAAAGGCCUACCAAGGCGACGAUCCGUAACUGGUCUGAGAGGAUGAUCAGUCACACUGGAACUGAGACACGGUCCAGACUCCUACGGGAGGCAGCAGUGGGGAAUAUUGGACAAUGGGCGAAAGCCUGAUCCAGCCAUGCCGCGUGUGUGAAGAAGGUCUUCGGAUUGUAAAGCACUUUAAGUUGGGAGGAAGGGCAGUAAGUUAAUACCUUGCUGUUUCGACGUUACCAACAGAAUAAGCACCGGCUAACUUCGUG